rnacentral:tRNA from 1 species
GCAUCCAAGCACACGGGUUGUGUCGCCAGCCUUCCAAGCUGCGCAGAGCGGGAUUCGACUUCCCCUGGAUGCUCCA